CGACGUGACCAUUCUAUUAUGACGAAGGCUUGGAGGGAAUUAGGACUGUGGCGCACGCAAUCGCUACAGUGUCCCCGCGGGGUAAUUUAAUACUCCGAAUAAAAUAUAUAUAGCAGGAGAGUAUGGGACCAGCCGCUCACUGUUGCUGUCGAACCGUUAGCCAAAAGCGAGAGGUGGGACGCCGUCUUAAUUACGGCCGAAAGCCGUUUCAGAUGACAGCAAUCAUUGGGAUCCUCUCUCCUCUCUCUCUCUCGCUCUCUCAAUCCCAAGGACGUUUUGGACGACAACGACAGGUGGCAAUGAGUUGAACGUUGGUUUACUUGACCCGAGCCCAAGUCCACCAUUUCACAUGACUCAUCAUGGACCGUCCGAUCUAUUGGUUAAACAGGGAAGUAGAAGUCACGUUUUGGCUCUAAGAUUCACAUUUGAUCACAUGCAUGCAAGUUGAAUGUUAACAUACUUGACCCGGGUCC
rnacentral:lncRNA from 1 species